rnacentral:lncRNA from 10 species
AAAUAGGUCAACAUCCUGAAGUGUAGUCUCAAAGGUGCUCAGAAUUCUUCCAGAUGAAGUCUCGCUCUGUCACCAGGCUGGAGCAUAGUGGUGUGAUCUUGGCUAACUGCAACGUCCGCCUCCCGGGUUCAAACAAUUCUCCUGCCUCAGCCUCCCGAGUAGCUGGAACUACAGGCAUGAGCCACCAUGCCCGGAUUAUUUUUGUAUUUUUAGUAGAGACGAGGUUUCACCAUGUUGGCGAGGACACAAGGUUUUCUUAAAUGUAGAAGAAAGAAACAGGACAGUCUGAACCAGAGAGAUGGCAUUAUAAGAAUGGUUUUGCUGGCUUCGAAGAUUUCAAAAGAAACUUGAAUCAAGAAAUCCAGGAAUCUUCCAGGAGUUGUAAAAGGCAAGAAAAUGGAUUCUUUCUUGGAGCCUCCAUGAGGGAAUACAGCCCUGUCAACACCUUUAUUUUAGUCCAAUAAGACCCAUUUCAUAUUUUGACCCCUAGAACCAUAAGAUAAAUUUGUCUUGUUUGAAGCC